rnacentral:rRNA from 1 species
UACGUAGGGAGCAAGCGUUGUCCGGAAUCAUUGGGCGUAAAGCGCGCGUAGGUGGCCUCGUAAGUCCGCUGUAAAAGUCAAAGGCUCAACCUUUGAAAGCCGGUGGAUACUGCGGGGCUAGAGUACGGAAGAGGCGAGUGGAAUUCCUGGUGUAGCGGUGGAAUGCGCAGAUAUCGGGAGGAACACCAAUGGCGAAGGCAGCUCGCUGGGACGGUACUGACGCUGAGGCGCGAAAGCGUGGGGAGCAAACAGG